ACAACAGGGACAACUGGCAGCUCUCUUCGAUUUUGAGAGAAUGAUGUUUUAUCUGUUCUGUGAUUUAUAUUAUUCUGUGAUCUGCUAUUUAUAGUUACCUGUUCUUCAAUGCUUCAUUUGAGAGGCCCUUGGAAUUUGCUUCCAGAUGAUGAGAGGGGACGUUUUCCCCCAAAGCCAGGACCGAACUGAUGCAAUGCAGGUCAUGUCACUUGGAGGUGCUGUAUCUGCUGGGAACAGCUCUCAGGCUGCCAGUAGGACCUGAGGCAGGUGGUGCAGGUAUCUUGCUGCUGAACCUCUGAGAAUCCGCAGCCCACAGGCUCUGCCAUCACCAGUAUGCUUGAGACACAAAGCCAAAAUAGAGACUGAGACCUGAACCCUGAAGAUGUCACCUCCAACAGCGGUGGACAGACUCUGCUUUCAGGAGGAGUCACACACUUUCACCCUUGGCCAAUACCUGAUAACCAGACCUGGGGCCUGGCGAUGGCCUUUCUUCACUUUCAGUUCAUCAUUAAAAAGAUUAUCAUUCAAACCCAUUCACCAACACUGCAGGGGAUGGGCAGGCUGAAGCUACCAGGAGCAUCAGCCCUGCCCUCACUCCGGGACCGCAGCCCCCAUGGAUGUCACCUCGCUGAAUGGAGUCACAUCAACAAGUUCACAGGGCUCCCGACAGGGCGCAUGCUAAGAGUAAUACAGCCAUUUAUAAGCCCAGGCACUUUCCACUGCUUUUGUUCACACUCCUUUGGAGAGGCUUGGCCAGGUGGGGACUCCCCCUGUUAGCAGAAAGGAGGCUCCGUAAGGAAAGCACGUGGUCAUCUACGUAGCACAGAAUCAGCAACACUUUCAGCAGUUUAGGGCAGGUGGGACUCUGCGUCAUAUUUAUAUGGUGUCUUCCUCAGAACAGGUUGCUAAUGCCUCAUGUAUUCUCAAGCCAUCUCUGGAAGUAUAAGGAGGGAGGGAUGCUGUGGGGUUGCGGAAGGUCGGGAGGUUUCACAGAGAGGAGGGGGCGCAGGAAGGUGGAGGAGCUGGUUCGAUAUCAGGAUAGUGUAUAACUGGAAAUAAAGUCUACAUUCAGCACUUCA
rnacentral:lncRNA from 13 species